rnacentral:rRNA from 1 species
UCCCACGAAUUAAUAAUCUUGGUUUUUGAUUAAUCCCACCAGCAGUAAUCCUCUUAGUAAUAUCUGCCUUUUUCGAAAAAGGCGCAGGCGGUAUCCUGACCGUGCUAAGGUAGCAUAAUAAUUUGCCUCCUAAUUAGAGGCUGGUAUGAAUGGAUUUACGAAAGUAUAACUGUCUCCUACUAAAAUAUAUAAACUAAACUUCAAGUGAAGAUGCUUGAAUUUCACUAAAGGACAAAAAGACCCUGUUGAGCUUCACCUUCAAUAAGUAUUAUAACUUACUAAGGUUUAGUUGGGGCGACUAAGGAAGAAAUAAAGCUUCCUCAAUAAAUAGACUGAUGUGUCCUAUAAAUGAUCCGCAAAAGCAAUCUAAAGAAAAGCUACCACAGGGAUAACAGACCAAUUCUUCUUAAGAGCUCAAAUUGACAGAAGAGCUUGGCACCUCGAUGUUGGCUUAAGAAAACGUUUAUCCUCCCUUAACAUCUAACAUUGCCCAUGCCGGCCCUUGUAUUGACCUAACCAUUUUUUCUCUACAUUUAUCUGGGAU